rnacentral:rRNA from 1 species
CACGUAGGCGGAUAUUUAAGUCAGGGGUGAAAUCCCAGAGCUCAAUUCUGGAACUGCCUUUGAUACUGGGUAUCUUGAGUAUGGAAGAGGUAAGUGGAAUUCCGAGUGUAGAGGUGAAAUUCGUAGAUAUUCGGAGGAACACCAGUGGCGAAGGCGGCUUACUGGUCCAUUACUGACGCUGAGGUGCGAAAGCGUGGGGAGCAAACA